UCGAGAAUUUUUCACAAUGGGCGAAAGCCUGAUGGAGCGACGCCGCGUGGGGGAUGAAUGGCUUCGGCCCGUAAACCCCUGUCAUUUGCGAGCAAAUCUGCCGCUUGAACAAAGCGGCAGACUGAUAGUAGCGAAAGAGGAAGGGACGGCUAACUCUGUGCCAGCAGCCGCGGUAAUACAGAGGUCCCGAGCGUUGUUCGGAUUUACUGGGCGUAAAGGGUGCGUAGGUGGCAGGGUAAGUUCGGUGUGA
rnacentral:rRNA from 1 species